rnacentral:rRNA from 1 species
UACGGAGGGUGCGAGCGUUAAUCGGAAUUACUGGGCGUAAAGCGCGCGUAGGCGGUUCGAUAAGUCAGAUGUGAAAUCCCCGGGCUCAACCUGGGAAUGGCCUUUGAUACUGUCAGACUAGAGUGUGGUAGAGGGAAGUGGAAUUCCGAAUGUAGCGGUGAAAUGCGUAGAUAUGCGGAGGAACACCAGUGGCGAAAGCGGCUACCUGGCGCAAUACUGACGCUGAGAUGCGAACGCGUGGGGAGCAAACAGG